rnacentral:rRNA from 1 species
CCUGUUUAACAAAAACAUGUCUUUUUGAGUUAUUUUUAAAGUCUGACCUGCCCACUGAAGUUAUUUAAAUGGCCGCAGUAUUCUAACUGUGCAAAGGUAGCAUAAUCAUUAGUCUUUUAAUUGAAGGCUGGUAUGAACGGUUGGACGAGGUAUAAGCUGUUUCAUAUAAAUUUAUAAUAGAAUUUUAUAUUUUAGUCAAAAAGCUAAAAUUUAAUUAAAAGACGAGAAGACCCUAUAAAUCUUUAUACUUUACAUUGUUUAAAUUUUUUAGAUUAAUUUUAUUUUUAUAAUUUAAAGUAUUUUGUUGGGGUGAUAUUAAAAUUUAAUGAACUUUUAAUUAUUUAAAAUCAUUAAUUUAUGAGUUAUUGAUCCAUUAGUAGUGAUUAUAAGAUUAAGUUACUUUAGGGAUAACAGCGUAAUUUUUUUGGAGAGUUCAUAUCGAUAAAAAAGUUUGCGACCUCGAUGUUGGAUUAAGAUAUAUUUUUAGGUGUAGCCGCUUAAAU